UUCCGAUCUUAAGCGUAUACGGUGGAUGCCUUGGCAGUCAGAGGCGAUGAAGGACGUUGUAGCCUGCGAAAAGCUUCGGGGAGUCGGCAAACAGACUUUGAUCCGGAGAUGUCCGAAUGGGGAAACCCACCUGGUGUAAGCCAGGUACCUUGCACUGAAUACAUAGGUGUAAGGAGCGAACGAGGGGAACUGAAACAUCUAAGUACCCUUAGGAAAAGAAAUCAAUUGAGAUUCCCCCAGUAGCGGCGAGCGACCGGGGAGUAGCCUGCAAGUGAUAGCAGUUGGGUUAGUGGAACGGUCUGGAAAGUCCGGCGAUAGAGGGUGAUAGCCCCGUACACGAAAACCUGAUUGUGGUACUAAGCUUGCGACAAGUAGGUCGGGACACGAGUUAUCUUGACUGAACAUGGGGGGACCAUCCUCCAAGGCUAAAUACUACUGACUGACCGAUAGUGAACCAGUACCGUGAGGGAAAGGCGAAAAGAACCCCGGAGAGGGGAGUGAAAUAGAACCUGAAACCGUAUACGUACAAGCAGUGGGAGCAGACUUGUUCUGUGACUGCGUACCUUUUGUAUAAUGGGUCAGCGACUUAUUUUCAGUGGCAAGGUUAACCGUAUAGGGGAGCCGUAGGGAAACCGAGUCUUAAUAGGGCGUCUUAGUCGCAGGGAGUAGACCCGAAACCGGGCGAUCUAGCCAUGGGCAGGUUGAAGGUUGAGUAACAUCAACUGGAGGACCGAACUCACGUAUGUUGAAAAAUGCGGAGAUGACCUGUGGCUCGGAGUGAAAGGCUAAUCAAGCCCGGAGAUAGCUGGUUCUCCUCGAAAUCUAUUUAGGUAGAGCGUCGUGUCUUACCCUGGGGGGUAGAGCACUGUUUCGGCUAGGGGGUCAUCCCGACUUACCAACCCGAUGCAAACUCCGAAUACCAAUGAGUGCAAUCACGGGAGACACACGGCGGGUGCUAACGUCCGUCGUGGAAAGGGAAACAACCCAGACCGUCAGCUAAGGUCCCAAAGUUAUAGUUAAGUGGGAAACGAUGUGGGAAGGUUUAGACAGCUAGGAGGUUGGCUUAGAAGCAGCCAUCCUUUAAAGAAAGCGUAAUAGCUCACUAGUCGAGUCGGCCUGCGCGGAAGAUGUAACGGGGCUCAAACCAUACACCGAAGCUACGGGUAUCACGUAAGUGAUGCGGUAGAGGAGCGUUCUGUAAGCCUGUGAAGGUGAGUUGAGAAGCUUGCUGGAGGUAUCAGAAGUGCGAAUGCUGACAUGAGUAACGACAAUGGGUGUGAAAAACACCCACGCCGAAAGACCAAGGUUUCCUGCGCAACGUUAAUCGACGCAGGGUUAGUCGGUCCCUAAGGCGAGGCUGAAAAGCGUAGUCGAUGGAAAACAGGUUAAUAUUCCUGUACUUCUGGUUAUUGCGAUGGAGGGACGGAGAAGGCUAGGCCAGCUUGGCGUUGGUUGUCCAAGUUUAAGGUGGUAGGCUGGAAUCUUAGGUAAAUCCGGGAUUCUAAGGCCGAGAGCUGAUGACGAGUUAUCUUUUAGAUGACGAAGUGGUUGAUGCCAUGCUUCCAAGAAAAGCUUCUAAGCUUCAGGUAACCAGGAACCGUACCCCAAACCGACACAGGUGGUUGGGUAGAGAAUACCAAGGCGCUUGAGAGAACUCGGGUGAAGGAACUAGGCAAAAUGGCACCGUAACUUCGGGAGAAGGUGCGCCGGUGAGGGUGAAGGACUUGCUCCGUAAGCUCAUGCCGGUCGAAGAUACCAGGCCGCUGCGACUGUUUAUUAAAAACACAGCACUCUGCAAACACGAAAGUGGACGUAUAGGGUGUGACGCCUGCCCGGUGCUGGAAGAUUAAAUGAUGGGGUGCAAGCUCUUGAUUGAAGUCCCAGUAAACGGCGGCCGUAACUAUAACGGUCCUAAGGUAGCGAAAUUCCUUGUC
rnacentral:rRNA from 1 species